UCCCACGUGGCGCAGUGGUUAAAGCGCCUGGCCGCGCAUGGCCCGUGCACGACUGCACGGUUUUCUCCAUGCGAGUGGGUUCAAGUCCCACCGUGGUUU